GGCGGCGUGCCUAAUACAUGCAAGUCGAGCGAACGGAUAAGGAGCUUGCUCCUUUGAAGUUAGCGGCGGACGGGUGAGUAACACGUGGGUAACCUACCUAUAAGACUGGAAUAACUUCGGGAAACCGGAGCUAAUGCCGGAUAACAUUUGGAACCGCAUGGUUCUAAAGUAAAAGAUGGUUUUGCUAUCACUUAUAGAUGGACCCGCGCCGUAUUAGCUAGUUGGUAAGGUAACGGCUUACCAAGGCAACGAUACGUAGCCGACCUGAGAGGGUGAUCGGCCACACUGGAACUGAGACACGGUCCAGACUCCUACGGGAGGCAGCAGUAGGGAAUCUUCCGC
rnacentral:rRNA from 1 species